rnacentral:tRNA from 1 species
GCGGGAUUAGCUCAAUGGUAGAGCUACUGCCUUCCAAGCAGAAGAUGCCGGUUCGAUUCCGGCAUUCCGCUCCA